rnacentral:lncRNA from 1 species
AUAAUCUCACAUAAUUGUACGUCUCAAAUAGUAGUGGAUUGCGUCUUCUCUCUACUCUCUCCUUACACGUAUCUACCAAGAUAAAUUUCCAAAAGCUCUCAUACCCAUCAAUAUUCAUUGACUGACAUACUGGUCGUCUCAAAACAGAACAAAUAUACUUAGUGUUAUUCCUGAUGCUGAUGGGUAGGUGUUUUCCUUCUCAAAGGCAGCUUGUGGAAAUUUGUUAAGAGAUGACACUAGGAAAAUUCUAAAAGGUUUUGCAUGCAACAUAGGCAGAAUUCUACCCAACAGUCCAAGAUGCACUUUGGGGGUGUGAUGUGGGGAUUACGUAUGGUGCUACCAGUUGGGGUAAUCAAGGAUCAUGGUGGAGAUGGACUUCCAAAGUGGCUUGGAACCAGCCCAUUCUUACCUUGAUAAUAUGUGGGUUAUAAGAUCUCAUAUGCAAGGUGCUUCCCAUAUCAAUUUUCAUUACAUAUAUUUGGAAGGUAAUAGAUGGGUGUAUUAGCCAAUAAUGGUCAUGAUGUAGACAAAAGUUUAAAUUUGCAGAAUCAUUUACUCCUUUCCCCAUUCCUUAUAUCCUCUUUUAUUAAGGGAUUUCCUAUUUGGGGUAGUUAUUCUCAAGUUUUUAGCUGAUUUCUGUUUUUUCUUUUUCUUUUUCUUUUUUCUGAGUUUUCU